rnacentral:lncRNA from 1 species
UCCAACACUGGUUACUCAAUGAACCACCUUCUCUGUGAUUAAUUGAAAUGCCACCUUCACAUACACAGACACUCGUAGGGCCUAUCCACUGGGUCACUCUCUCUGCCUUGCCUCUUGUAGCUUUAAAACUCAAUUCAAUAUUUGUUAAGACCCUUCUCUGCCUGCACUACUGUCCUUUUUCAGAAGUUUCCUGUAUUGUUACAAAUUGAUUUCCAAUUGAACUUUACUUUCCUUUUUUAAGUUUCCCUCAAAAAAGUCUAUCUGGAAACGUUAUUAACAUCAUAUUGAUAUUAUAGACUUUAUUAAUUUAGGGAGAAUAUAUGUCUUCAUAAUAUUAAAUAUUUCACCUAAAGAUUGAGAUAUUAAUGAAAUUAAAUAAACGCAUGGGAGUGGGAUGGAGGGCUGUGUGUGAGGGAUGGAUUAUUAAAGUGGUCCAUAAAUAUAUUUUAUGUCACUUAAAAAUAAUGUAGAAUUCCUCACAGCCAUCUUGAAAAACAGAGUGUAUAUAUAGCUCAAUAAACAAACAUUGACUAUAAUAAUAUUCCAGUGAGAAAAUAUUUUGCUUCUACAAAUAAAAAUAUGUGGCCAUUAAAAGGAUUUCUUGAGCAGAGUCCUCCACAUUGCAAAAUUCUAUAAACAGAAACCAACAUUUUUAUAACCAGAAUACCCUAAAGGGCAAUGAAUUACUUCAUCUCCCACACGAAACAACCCUAGCAUGAAAUUAGGGGGUGACAUCAUAGAAGGCCCCAGUCCAUCAUAUUAAAAUAUGUAGAGUAGAACAAAAGAGUCAUAGUCUAUCUUUUAUCACAUUUUAUGACGUGAAGUUUGAAAUGCAGGAUGCGUCAACCUAUUAGCAGAAGGAGUAAGAGCUACACCCUUUAACAAGUUGCAAGAACCAGUAACAGACCCAGGAAUAAAUAUGAAUGCCUGAUCACCACAAGAUGCGCUCUGUCAAGAUGUCUUCCACUGUGACAUUUGGGUAAAAAUCCAGACGGCAAAAUGACAGAAGAGCUCUGGAUUUGAAACCAGAAAAUCCAGUUUCAUGUUCUAGUUAUUCAGCCAGUAGUUUAAUCUCUGUGAGCCUCAUCAAUAAAGUGAGGAUGAUGGAGCCUCUCAAAGUCCUUGAGAACAUCCCAUGAAACUAGACGUUGAAACUGCUUUACAUAACAUAAAGCGCCAUACUAACUAUAAAAUCACCCCAAUUUGUUGUCAGUUAGGCAGAGUAGCGUUUCCUUCAAAAAUAUGCAGAUCAUUUCUCAAAAGUCUUCCUGUUCCCAGUAGAUGCCAGCUGACUUCACAAGCUAAAAGUCGGUUGUAAACAGCUGUCCUGCAGUAGAUGGACAAGCCUCAAGCUGCUCCUCCUCUGCUCAGGCGCCCAGCGUGAACAGCAAAGAGGCCUGGGAACUCACUUUCUCUCUUUGUGUUGCUGCCCACCAUCUGUUUCUUGCAGCACAGGAAUCUUCAUCUAGAAAUCUCUGCAUUGCCUCUGCUUUUCCCCAACCAUCAUAGUUUCUUCUUUCUUUACAUAUCAGCCACCAUGACGAUGUUUAUUAACCCAACUACAAGAAAUGUUGAAAAAGAG